UGUCAUCGUCGACCAAAACGAUGAUGAUAACGAGUACAAUAAGAAUAAGUCUGGCAGUGUGAACAAGAAUAAUGAUUGUAAGGAUAAAAAUGAAAGCGAAUAUGAAACAGUUACUCGUGAGCAGUGGAAAGCAUUAAAUCGUACGUAUAGCAGAAGUACGACGAUGGGUAGUAAAUCAUCUAAAAGAAGAAAUUAUCAGGAGAAAUCCUCUAAUAUGAGUAGAAUUUCGAAUGCACUUAGCAUAUCGAUAACAGAGGGUACGAAUGCCGAAAAUUUCUUAUAUCGUAUCAAAAGGGGUUCGGUACUACAUGUUCAUCCGGAGGCAGCAAUUUUGGGACGUGAAAUCGUACUUUAUACAAAUUACCCUGCAACAGAUGAUCAAUUUAAACGUACGGAAUUUAGAACUCUAGAUUGGUUUCGUAAAAAUGGCAGACAAAUCACCACUAAUAAAUAUCAAUCAGCCCAUAUCGUGGAUACGGACAUAUAUGCAGAAGUUAAGAUGAAUAUGUCGGGAACAUUUCGUUUCUGGUUUCAUUAUAAGGAGAGCCCAAAGAAAGAACCAGCUGGAUCGCUCUAUGUUCAAGUAGAGCCAACUUUACAAGUUGGUCGACCAGGAGUUGAAAGAGUGAUACCCUUAGAUUCGGUGCGUUGUCAAACGGUUUUGUCGAAGCUGUUAGGACCCAUAACAACAUGGGAAUCAAAACUGCGAGUGACUAAGGAGUCGGGUUAUAACGUUAUACAUUUUACUCCCAUACAAGAAUUGGGCGCUUCACGUUCCGCUUAUUGUUUACGUGAUCAAUUGCGAAUAAAUUCCGAUUUCGCGAAAUCAAAAGGUGAAAAAGUAAAUUUUGAAGAUAUAGAGAAGGUGGUGAGGCAAUUACGCGAGGAGUGGGAAAUAGCCUCGAUUUGUGAUAUUGUUUUAAAUCAUACUGCCAAUGAAUCUGAAUGGUUACUUGAACAUCCAGAGGCCACAUAUUCCUGUGCCACAUGUCCUUAUCUACGACCUGCUUUUCUCUUGGACGCUUUGCUAACCAAAUGCGGUGAAGACAUAGCAAAUGGUUUACUGGAAGAUAAAGGAAUUCCUUCAAUUAUUGAUCGCGAAGAGCACUUAGAAGCUUUAAAAUAUCAGUUGCUUUAUGUCUAUCUUCCAAAAGUGAACAUUCACGAGUUCUAUCAAUGUAAUGCCACGAAAUAUGUUAGUGAUUUUAUGGAUCAUAUAGGUACACUCCAGCCACCUAUGAACGUGGUUAAAGAGCAGCGUUUUAAAGAAGUGAAAUUGCUACCAGAUAAGGAAUAUAAACGCUUAGGAGCUGCUAUCAAUAUGAACGUAGCUUUAGAUGUGUUCAACAGUUUCUAUGCCGACUGUUUUGAUGAGGAUUCGCGCGCACGCAAAUGUGCGGAUGCCCUACGCAUGCACCUAGAAUCGCUUAACGAAGAGGUGCGCAAUAAGAUUCAAGGUUAUUUAAACGAAGCUGUCGAUAAUUGUUUGAACGGUGUGCGUUACGAACGCGUUCGAAACGAUGGUCCUCAAAUUAAGGAAAUAUCUGAAAAAUACCCAGUAUUUGUUCAGUACUUUACACAAACGAAAGCUUUUGGUAAAACUCUUAAAAAUAUUGAAGCAGACAUGUAUGAUAAGGUAGGGGAAAUGUUUAUGGCUCAUAACGGCUGGGUAAUGGGUUCAACAAAUCCCCUGAAAGACUUUGCCGAAGAACAACCAGGUUAUGCUAAUGUGUACUUAAAACGAGAGCUUAUAGCCUGGAGUGAUAGCGUGAAGUUGCGUUAUGGUAAAUCGCCUGAAGACAGCCCUUUCCUCUGGCAGCAUAUGGCAGUUUAUGUAGCAACAAUGGCUCGCAUUUUCGAUGGUGUGCGCUUAGACAACUGCCACUCAACUCCUAUACAUGUAGCAGAGCAUCUCUUAGAUAUUGCUAGAGAAACUAAGCCGAAUCUCUAUGUGGUCGCCGAACUAUUUACUAACUCUGAUGCUACUGACAAUGUGUUUGUUAAUCGUUUGGGUAUCACUUCGUUAAUAAGAGAAGCUUUAGCGGCCUGGGACGCACAUGAACAAGGACGUUUGGUAUAUCGUUUUGGAGGUCUGCCUGUAGGGGCGUUUAUGGUAAAUCCCAAACGUGAUUUGGCCCCAAGUGUAGCCCAUGCUAUGUUCAUGGAUAUGACACAUGAUAACCCCUCACCUAUCGAAAAAAGAUCAGCAUAUGAUCUUUUGCCAUCAUCGGCUUUGGUUGCUAUGGCUUGUUGUGCGAUUGGCAGUAGUCGCGGUUAUGACGAAUUGGUUCCUCAUCAUAUUCACAUCGUAGACGAGAAACGCACUUACCAAUCGUGGGAUAAAGAAGUAGAUUUGAGUACAGGGAUUAUAGCAGCUAAACGGGCAUUAAACAACCUGCACCAUCACUUAGCUGAAAAGGGUUUUACUCAAGUUUUUGUAGACCAAAUGGACCCGAAUAUUGUAGCGGUCACUCGACAUUCACCCCAAACUCAUGAAAGCGUCAUUCUUGUGGCUCAUACAGCCUUCAGUUAUCCUCAUGCAAGUGCUGGUCCCACAUAUGUUCGACCUUUAUGCUUUGAAGGUAAACUUGAUGAGAUUGUAUUGGAAGCCCAGUUUUAUAUGAAAAGUGAGAAACCUUUUGGGCGCCCUCAACCCUUCAAAAGGCAUCCUGAUGUGAUUAAUGGUUAUCAACAGUUUCAGUUAAUUCUAAGUGAACAUAUUCCCUUAAAUAAGUCGAAAAUCUUUCGCCAUAAAUCCAAUGCAGAGGAACAUUUAACAAAGUUGGAUUUCGAAAAUUUUAAACCUGGCUGUGUAGUGGUCAUCAAAGUGUCCUUGAAUUCACCAUCCCGCGAAAAUAUUUUACGUUUACAUCAAUGGAUCCACUCCAUGCAGUUUCGUGACGGAGGAGCUUUUCAGGAGCUUCAAAAGGUGGCUAAGACAUUAGAUUUUGUUGACUUGAAUCGCGCCUUGUUCACAUGUGAUCAGGAAGAGCGUGAUUUAGGCUUUGGCGGGGGCGUCUACAACGUACCUGGAUUCGGUCCCUUAGUUUAUUGUGGUUUGCAAGGCUUCAUUUCUCUCCUAACUGAGAUAUCACCGCACAAUGACUUGGGCCAUCCAUUUUGUGACAAUUUGCGAAAUGGCAAUUGGAUGAUGGAUUACAUAGUCGAUCGUUUGUCUCAUUUCGACGAUACCAAAGCUUUAUCAUUUAAGUUGAAAGCGGCCUUCAAUUAUUUAAAACACAUACCACGCUAUUUGAUACCCUGUUAUUUCGACUUUAUUCUAAGCGGGGUAUACGAGAUAUUGAUCGACCGUGUCUAUCAACUGAUGCCUGACUUUAUACGUGACGGCCAUAAUUUCCCGCAGUUAUUGGCUUCGGCUACGCUUGAAUUUUUAAGCGUUUGCAAUUCGGCUAAUUUACCGACUUUAAGCCCCGAACUUUUACCACCAAAACCUCUUUCACAAAAUGUUACCUUAGCAGCCGGCCUUCCCCAUUUCUCUACCGGUUAUAUGCGUUGCUGGGGUCGUGACACCUUUAUCUCUUUACGCGGUCUUAUGUUUUUAACGGGACGAUACGUAGAGGCAAGGUUUAUAAUAUUGGGCUUUGCGCAAUGCUUGCGCCAUGGAUUAAUACCUAAUCUCUUGGAUAAUGGUGUCAGACCUCGCUUCAAUUGCCGCGAUGCCGUUUGGUGGUGGUUGUUUAGCAUUAAGCAAUAUGUAGAGCAAGCUCCUCAAGGUGCCAAGAUACUGAAAGAUAAAGUUUCGCGUAUAUUUCCUUAUGAUGAUUCAGAAGCUCAUGGCCCUGGGAAAUUUGAUCAAAUUCUAAUAGAUGUUGUGCAAGAGGCUGUGCAAGUUCAUUUUCAAGGAUUACUGUAUACAGAACGUAAUGCGGGGCCCGAAAUUGAUGAUCAUAUGACUGUCAGAGGUUUUAAUAAUCAAAUUGGUGUAAAUCGGCAAACGGGUUUUGUAUAUGGCGGAAAUCAAUGGAACUGUGGCACAUGGAUGGAUAAAAUGGGUUCGUCAGAGAAAGCUGGCAAUAGAGGGCGGCCAAAUACACCGAGGGAUGGUAGCGCAGUAGAGCUGGUAGGCCUUCAAUAUGCAGUCUUACGUUUCAUGCAAUCUAUAAAUGAACAGGGGCUUUCUGAAUACAAGGAGGUAACCCGUAAAAGCCCGGAAGGAUUAGUGUCUACCUGGACUUAUAAAGAUUGGGCUGAUCGGAUCAAAGAGAAUUUCGAAAAUUAUUUUUUCGUCUCCAAUGAAGACACUGCUUCGUUAGCUAACAAAAAGAAUAUUUACAAAGACUGUUAUGGUGCUUCUCACAGCUGGACUGAUUAUCAAUUACGUUGCAAUUUCCCCAUCGCUAUGGUAAUAGCUCAGGAUCUUUUUAAUCCUCAGCACGCUUGGGCAGCCUUAGAACAGGCUCGUGAACAUUUAGUGGGCCCCUUAGGUAUGAAAACUUUGGAUCCAGGUGAUUGGAAUUACCGUGGUACCUACGACAAUUCCAACGAUUCGUCAGAUGCCAGUGUGGCUCAUGGAGCUAAUUACCACCAAGGCCCUGAAUGGAUUUGGCCAAUGGGCUACUAUUUGAGGGCACGUUUGAUCUUCGCUAAGAAAUGCGGACAUCUAAAUGAAACAAUUGCUGAAACAUGGAAAAUUUUAAGGCUUCACUUAAAAGAAUUACAAACAUCACACUGGCGGGGGUUGCCUGAACUAACUAAUGAAAAUGGUGCUUUUUGCCGUGAUUCAUGCCCUACACAAGCCUGGAGUAUAGCAAGUAUAAUGGAGGUGCUUUACGAUUUACACUCCUUGGGAGGAGAUUUCUAAACGGACCUAUCAAUUGUCUUCGUCGAUCAUACAUUUGGAGAUGUUGCGUUUUAUUUUUUGUCAUCAUGUCUGUUUUUUUUCGUUGCCAAAAGCAAAAUAUAAUAACUUCAUGUCCACGCACCUGAAGAAGAAAAAUCUUCUUUGAGAUCAUAUCUUGAAUUCAAUUGAUGCUGAUAACUAUGUUAAAAAAGGGCACGACUAUAUUAAAAGGGUGAAAUCUAUGUUAAAACUGUUCAGAAGAAGUGCAAAAGGUUAGAGUAGAUGAAAAGUGUAUAUAAGCGUACGAUAAUGAGCCAAUUUUCCAUGCCUGUCUGUCGACUCUAUUCUCGGACAGGUGGAUUACGCAGAACGACUUAAGAUAGACGCACCUUUCCAUCUUCUUCUUUUCUUCCGGAUCAU